rnacentral:lncRNA from 1 species
CGUCCUCAGCGUGAGAAAAGUGUGCGUGGCAGCAGAUUGUGUUCUGACAAAAGAAGCGAGCGAGAGCCCUACGAUGUGAAUUUCAGCUCACCAUCCUGAAGGGCCUUUCCAUACUAGCCAGUAAGUUGAUUUUUAUUUUUAAUUUUUAUUUUUAUUUUACAUUGAUAGCUUCUUG